AGAGUUUGAUCCUGGCUCAGAACGAACGCUGGCGGCGUGGAUAAGACAUGCAAGUCGAACGAGAGAAUUGCUAGCUUGCUAAUAAUUCUCUAGUGGCGCACGGGUGAGUAACACGUGAGUAACCUGCCCCCGAGAGCGGGAUAGCCCUGGGAAACUGGGAUUAAUACCGCAUAGUAUCGAAAGAUUAAAGCAGCAAUGCGCUUGGGGAUGGGCUCGCGGCCUAUUAGUUAGUUGGUGAGGUAACGGCUCACCAAGGCGAUGACGGGUAGCCGGUCUGAGAGGAUGUCCGGCCACACUGGAGCUGAGACACGGUCCAGACACCUACGGGUGGCAGCAGUCGAGAAUCAUUCACAAUGGGGGAAACCCUGAUGGUGUGACGCCGCGUGGGGGAAUGAAGGUCUUCGGAUUGUAAACCCCUGUCAUGUGGGAGCAAAUUAAAAAGAUAGUACCACAAGAGGAAGAGACGGCUAACUCUGUGCCAGCAGCCGCGGUAAUACAGAGGUCUCAAGCGUUGUUCGGAAUCACUGGGCGUAAAGCGUGCGUAGGCUGUUUCGUAAGUCGUGUGUGAAAGGCGCGGGCUCAACCCGCGGACGGCACAUGAUACUGCGAGACUAGAGUAAUGGAGGGGGAACCGGAAUUCUCGGUGUAGCAGUGAAAUGCGUAGAUAUCGAGAGGAACACUCGUGGCGAAGGCGGGUUCCUGGACAUUAACUGACGCUGAGGCACGAAGGCCAGGGGAGCGAAAGGGAUUAGAUACCCCUGUAGUCCUGGCAGUAAACGGUGCACGCUUGGUGUGCGGGGAAUCGACCCCCUGCGUGCCGGAGCUAACGCGUUAAGCGUGCCGCCUGGGGAGUACGGUCGCAAGAUUAAAACUCAAAGAAAUUGACGGGGACCCGCACAAGCGGUGGAGUAUGUGGCUUAAUUCGAUGCAACGCGAAGAACCUUACCUGGGCUUGACAUGUAAUGAACAACAUGUGAAAGCAUGCGACUCUUCGGAGGCGUUACACAGGUGCUGCAUGGCCGUCGUCAGCUCGUGUCGUGAGAUGUUUGGUUAAGUCCAGCAACGAGCGCAACCCCUGUUGCCAGUUACCAGCACGUGAAGGUGGGGACUCUGGCGAGACUGCCCAGAUCAACUGGGAGGAAGGUGGGGACGACGUCAGGUCAGUAUGGCCCUUAUGCCCAGGGCUGCACACGUACUACAAUGCCCAGUACAGAGGGGGCCGAAGCCGCGAGGCGGAGGAAAUCCUGAAAACUGGGCCCAGUUCGGACUGUAGGCUGCAACCCGCCUACACGAAGCCGGAAUCGCUAGUAACGGCGCAUCAGCUACGGCGCCGUGAAUACGUUCCCGGGUCUUGCACUCACCGCCCGUCA
rnacentral:rRNA from 1 species